rnacentral:rRNA from 1 species
UACGUAGGGGGCAAGCGUUGUCCGGAUUUAUUGGGCGUAAAGCGCGUGUAGGCGGCCAGGUAGGUCCGCUGUGAAAACCCGAGGCUCAACCUCGGGACGUCGGCGGAAACCAUCUGGCUAGAGUCCGGAAGAGGAGAGUGGAAUUCCCGGUGUAGCGGUGAAAUGCGCAGAUAUCGGGAAGAACACCCGUGGCGAAGGCGACUUCCUGGCCUGUUCUUGACGCUGAGGCGCGAAAGCUAGGGGAGCAAACGGG